CCCCCUUAAGCUGAUUUCAAGUCAGCCACAUAACCGCUCUGUCAUUUUCUUUAU
rnacentral:tRNA from 1 species